AAAUUGAAGAGUUUGAUCAUGGCUCAGAUUGAACGCUGGCGGCAGGCCUAACACAUGCAAGUCGAACGGUAACAGGAAGCAGCUUGCUGCUUCGCUGACGAGUGGCGGACGGGUGAGUAAUGUCUGGGAAACUGCCUGAUGGAGGGGGAUAACUACUGGAAACGGUGGCUAAUACCGCAUAACGUCGCAAGACCAAAGAGGGGGACCUUCUGGCCUCUUGCCAUCA
rnacentral:rRNA from 1 species